GGGGACGUUACGGAUUCGACAGGGAUAGUUCGAGCUUAGGUUGCGAGUCGAGGGGAUCGGCCUCGUUAAAACGUCAAAGCCUAUAAUUGGCAAACAAAACAAGUGCCGAUAUUUGACGUGGGUUCGACUCCCACCGUCUCCACCA
rnacentral:tmRNA from 1 species